AGGGCGCACGGUGGAUGCCUUGGCACUAGAAGCCGAUGAAGGACGUUACUAACGACGAUAUGCUUUGGGGAGCUGUAAGUAAGCUUUGAUCCAGAGAUUUCCGAAUGGGGAAACCCAGCAUGAGUUAUGUCAUGUUAUCGAUAUGUGAAUACAUAGCAUAUCAGAAGGCACACCCGGAGAACUGAAACAUCUUAGUACCCGGAGGAAGAGAAAGAAAAUUCGAUUCCCUUAGUAGCGGCGAGCGAAACGGGAAGAGCCCAAACCAACAAGCUUGCUUGUUGGGGUUGUAGGACACUCUAUACGGAGUUACAAAGGACGACAUUAGACGAAUCAUCUGGAAAGAUGAAUCAAAGAAGGUGAUAAUCCUGUAGUCGAAAAUGUUGUCUCUCUUGAGUGGAUCCUGAGUACGACGGAGCACGUGAAAUUCCGUCGGAAUCUGGGAGGACCAUCUCCUAAGGCUAAAUACUCUCUAGUGACCGAUAGUGAACCAGUACCGUGAGGGAAAGGUGAAAAGCACCCCGGAAGGGGAGUGAAAUAGAACCUGAAACCGUGUGCUUACAAGUAGUCAGAGCCCGUUAAUGGGUGAUGGCGUGCCUUUUGUAGAAUGAACCGGCGAGUUACGAUUUGAUGCAAGGUUAAGCAGUAAAUGUGGAGCCGUAGCGAAAGCGAGUCUGAAUAGGGCGUUUAGUAUUUGGUCGUAGACCCGAAACCAGGUGAUCUACCCUUGGUCAGGUUGAAGUUCAGGUAACACUGAAUGGAGGACCGAACCGACUUACGUUGAAAAGUGAGCGGAUGAACUGAGGGUAGCGGAGAAAUUCCAAUCGAACCUGGAGAUAGCUGGUUCUCUCCGAAAUAGCUUUAGGGCUAGCCUCAAGUGAUGAUUAUUGGAGGUAGAGCACUGUUUGGACGAGGGGCCCCUCUCGGGUUACCGAAUUCAGACAAACUCCGAAUGCCAAUUAAUUUAACUUGGGAGUCAGAACAUGGGUGAUAAGGUCCGUGUUCGAAAGGGAAACAGCCCAGACCACCAGCUAAGGUCCCAAAAUAUAUGUUAAGUGGAAAAGGAUGUGGCGUUGCCCAGACAACUAGGAUGUUGGCUUAGAAGCAGCCAUCAUUUAAAGAGUGCGUAAUAGCUCACUAGUCGAGUGACACUGCGCCGAAAAUGUACCGGGGCUAAACAUAUUACCGAAGCUGUGGAUUGUCCUUUGGACAAUGGUAGGAGAGCGUUCUAAGGGCGUUGAAGCAUGAUCGUAAGGACAUGUGGAGCGCUUAGAAGUGAGAAUGCCGGUGUGAGUAGCGAAAGACGGGUGAGAAUCCCGUCCACCGAUUGACUAAGGUUUCCAGAGGAAGGCUCGUCCGCUCUGGGUUAGUCGGGUCCUAAGCUGAGGCCGACAGGCGUAGGCGAUGGAUAACAGGUUGAUAUUCCUGUACCACCUAUAAUCGUUUUAAUCGAUGGGGGGACGCAGUAGGAUAGGCGAAGCGUGCGAUUGGAUUGCACGUCUAAGCAGUAAGGCUGAGUAUUAGGCAAAUCCGGUACUCGUUAAGGCUGAGCUGUGAUGGGGAGAAGACAUUGUGUCUUCGAGUCGUUGAUUUCACACUGCCGAGAAAAGCCUCUAGAUAGAAAAUAGGUGCCCGUACCGCAAACCGACACAGGUAGUCAAGAUGAGAAUUCUAAGGUGAGCGAGCGAACUCUCGUUAAGGAACUCGGCAAAAUGACCCCGUAACUUCGGGAGAAGGGGUGCUCUUUAGGGUUAACGCCCAGAAGAGCCGCAGUGAAUAGGCCCAAGCGACUGUUUAUCAAAAACACAGGUCUCUGCUAAACCGUAAGGUGAUGUAUAGGGGCUGACGCCUGCCCGGUGCUGGAAGGUUAAGAGGAGUGGUUAGCUUCUGCGAAGCUACGAAUCGAAGCCCCAGUAAACGGCGGCCGUAACUAUAACGGUCCUAAGGUAGCGAAAUUCCUUGUCGGGUAAGUUCCGACCCGCACGAAAGGCGUAACGAUUUGGGCACUGUCUCAACGAGAGACUCGGUGAAAUCAUAGUACCUGUGAAGAUGCAGGUUACCCGCGACAGGACGGAAAGACCCCGUGGAGCUUUACUGUAGCCUGAUAUUGAAAUUCGGCACAGCUUGUACAGGAUAGGUAGGAGCCUUUGAAACGUGAGCGCUAGCUUACGUGGAGGCGCUGGUGGGAUACUACCCUAGCUGUGUUGGCUUUCUAACCCCCACCACUUAUCGUGGUGGGAGACAGUGUCAGGCGGGCAGUUUGACUGGGGCGGUCGCCUCCUAAAAGGUAACGGAGGCGCUCAAAGGUUCCCUCAGAAUGGUUGGAAAUCAUUCAUAGAGUGUAAAGGCAUAAGGGAGCUUGACUGCGAGACCUACAAGUCGAGCAGGGUCGAAAGACGGACUUAGUGAUCCGGUGGUUCCGCAUGGAAGGGCCAUCGCUCAACGGAUAAAAGCUACCCCGGGGAUAACAGGCUUAUCUCCCCCAAGAGUUCACAUCGACGGGGAGGUUUGGCACCUCGAUGUCGGCUCAUCGCAUCCUGGGGCUGUAGUCGGUCCCAAGGGUUGGGCUGUUCGCCCAUUAAAGCGGUACGCGAGCUGGGUUCAGAACGUCGUGAGACAGUUCGGUCCCUAUCCGUCGUGGGCGUAGGAAAUUUGAGAGGAGCUGUCCUUAGUACGAGAGGACCGGGAUGGACAUACCUCUGGUGUACCAGUUGUCGUGCCAACGGCAUAGCUGGGUAGCUAUGUGUGGACGGGAUAAGUGCUGAAAGCAUCUAAGCAUGAAGCCCCCCUCAAGAUGAGAUUUCCCAACUUCGGUUAU
rnacentral:rRNA from 1 species